UUUCCGUAGGUGAACCUGCGGAAGGAUCAUUCAUAAUAAGUGUUUUAUGGCACUUUUAAAAUCCAUAUCCACCUUGUGUGCAAUGUUGAAGAGGAAUUUGGUGAGGUCUUUUUUAUUAAAGAUUUCCCUUAUUUCUUUUUCCCAUAACAAACUCAUUUUUUUUUAAUAUAUCGUCUGAAAACUAUUAUGAAUACUUAAUUCAAAAUACAACUUUCAACAACGGAUCUCUUGGCUCUC
rnacentral:misc_RNA from 1 species